CCCCCAGGGCCGGGACAGCGCUGCCGCUGGGCGCCCGCGGCCUCACACGCGUGGGCCCCGUCAGCCACACGGCUCCCUCAGUUGAAACCGAGGAGCUUUGGCAACUUAAAUCCACAGUACUGUCAGCAAAAUGCUUAAUCUCUGCUAGACCUGAGGUUAGCGCCUUCCUCAAGCAAAUGGGAUAAGGAAGAGGUGUGUUUUUUACAGAAUGAUGGGUCUGAACAAGAUGUCUGUGCACGCAUGCAAAAUAUUACAUUUUAUUGCAAGAGCUUCAGAUUUCUUUCUAAGUUGCUGCACAUUAAUGUGUACUAUGUAACCAAACCUGAUCCCACAAACACUCCCAGGGCAAAGCACAAGAGCAGCAACUUCAGUGGGACUUGCAUGUGCGUUUCAGUAUCGAUUAUUUUCCAUUGGCAGCAAGGCAGAAAGAACAAAGCCGAAUUUCAAUGAAGGUGAAGUAUGCUGACCUCCUUAAAGCCACAGGGUGUUCCAUUGGAGACGGGACUCUGGGUGACUAUAAACAUGAUUGAGCAGAGAACACAGAAGCCAUGUGGUUUUUUUUCCACUGAGAUAUGAUACCACCAUGGAAAGCAUAAGAAAGUAAAAGGAUUGUUUCAGGAAAAAAAUUAGAGGCUCAGCAUAUCUCUAAACACUUUUUUUUUCCCCCUCAAAAUGCAUCGUAAAACAUCACAUCACAUGACUGAACUGAAAACAUCCAAUUUAUUUUUACAGAUUAGCCACAAUGACCCCCAUGACUUAUGCUCAUGGCACUGGAGAUGUUUGAUAUGAGGCAAGGGCCAACUUGUAAAAAUAAAUCUUAUAUUUUCUCCCCAUGUUUGUUUUGUGCUGGGGACAUUUGCUGCUUUUCUGGAGAAUCUUCAGCACUUGGUAUAUUAUGUACGGUGUAAAAAAUUUGACAGCAAACACACAGGAAAGGCUGACAGACCUGUAUUUACUGUAUUGCUUUGUAUGUUACUACACAGUCUGCAAUAUUAAACCCAACUCCAAACUAGACUUUGGAACCAGGCAGCAAGCCCAAAAUUGUGAUAAUCUCCUCCAUAACAGCAGAAAAAAAUAAAAUAACAUUGCUGAAAGU
rnacentral:lncRNA from 7 species